UGGGGAAUAUUGCACAAUGGAGGGAACCCUGAUGCAGCGACGCCGCGUGAGGGAUGAAGGAAUUCGUUUCGUAAAACUCUGUUCUAUGGGAAGAAAAGGACUGUACCAUAGGAGAAAGCUCCGGCUAAAUACGUGCCAGCAGCCGCGGUAAUACGUAUGGAGCGAGCGUUGUCCGGAAUUAUUGGGCGUAAAGGGUGCGCAGGCGGCUUUACAAGUUGGAUGUGAAAUAUUGUGGCUCAACCACAAACGUGCAUCCAAAACUGCAAAGCUUGAGUUAAGGAGGGGUAAGUGGAAUUCCUGGUGUAGCGGUGGAAUGCGUAGAUAUCAGGAGGAAUACCGGUGGCGAAGGCGACUUACUGGACUUAAACUGACGCUCAGGGACGAAAGCGUGGGGAGCAAACAGG
rnacentral:rRNA from 1 species